CGUCACGCGACUUAAGCUCUGCGCAUGAGCUUAAGCUCGCGGGUUAACUGCGCUAAAGGCUCGUUUUCGUUGGGACAACAACUUGUAACAUUGUAGCAUGCUACCGAAAAGUGUACGCCACAAAAGGCAACAUCUUGCGGCCUGUGUUGCAUGCGACAGGCCCACCAACGGGCAUACUAGGAGAUCUAGCAGCAGUUGAUGGUGCAUUAUUUAGUAAUUUUACGACAAUGUCUAGUGAAGACUUCAAUUAUGUUCUACAAUUAACUACACCUCUUACUCUAAAGAAAGAUACCUACUGGCAAGGCAGUGUUUCACCAAGAAAUCGAAUGGCCUUUGCAUUACGAUUAUUAGCCACUGGGGAUUCGUACAAGUCGCUAAUGUACUUAUUCAGAAUAUCACAUUCUGCCAUUUCCCUCUUACUGCUAGAAGUAUGUGAAACUACUUCAUCAGUUUUGAAGAAUUACGUAAAGAUAAGUAUACAACAUUCAAUACUCACUUUUUAAAUAAGUUUUUAUUUUCAGUUUUAAGUAAGUUAUAAUAAAAAUUAAAUAAUUGGUACAAAGUAUUUCACUUAUUUUUUAAACUGCAAAAAUUGAUGGAGCUCUUCUGAUGUACCCGGUACUUCAAUGAAUUCUUCACUCACACCAAUAUCAUUAUCAACGUAUAUAAUUUCGCAGUUAGCUUCUGGACAGCUUAUUUCUGCGCUGUUUUCCGAUACGACAACCGGUAAUGAUGCGAUGUUGGGACUUUGCUUAUCAUACUCCCCCCAACGCUGCUUUGAAUGGCACACGAUGUGCUUCGCAGACGUUUGUGUUGUCGGGGGAAAUUUUCUUAUCUCAUUGGCGAUGAACUCCCCAUACGCACUCCAUUCAUCUGUUGUUACCAGCUGGCCGGUGUGACCGUGCGGUUCUAGGCGCUUCAGUCUGGAACCGCGUGUCCGCUACGGUCGCAGGUUCGAAUCCUGCCUUGGGCAUGGAUGUGUGUGAUGUCCUUAGGUUGGUUGGGUUUAAGUAGUUCUAAGUUCUAGGGGACUGAUGACCAUAGAUGUUAAGUCCCAUAGCGCUCAGAGCCAUUUGAACCAUUUUUGUUGUUGUUACCAGUUUUUAAAAGCUGGUAAACUUCCUUAACUCAAGCAUCUCUUUCCAUUUCCUGACCUGUUCUUUUUAUGGGUUUAGUAAUUCUCUUUCUCUGUGUUUCCUCAUGAGAUGUAGUUGGUGUUUGGGGCACACAUUUUCUUCAUAAGGCUGACUUGAAUCUUCAUCUUUUGUUUGUGCCCUCUGUGUCGUCAUUCUGAAAAAUAGGUUAAAUAAUGAUAAUGUUUUACUUUUCAGAUUCUAAAGGACAUUGAAUGUUGCCAGAAAUUUUGAAGUGUGUAGGAGCCAUAGAUGACAAAACGUGCAAAUUAUAUGUCAUGCCAAUACUGGAAGUGAAUACAUUAACUAAAAAAAUACCAUCGUCUUUAUGGCGAUUGCAGACGCAAAUUAUUGGUUACGAUAUGUACAUGUUGGUUGUCAGGGCCGCAUAUCAGUUGGAGGAGUUUUUAAGAAUACUUCAUUUCAUAAAGCGUUAACGGAAAAUAAAUUAAACGUUCCUCCCCCAGAAUCUCUUCCAGGAGAAGAAAAUUUGGCUCCACUCUCACAAACUAAACUCUGCACCGUCGUGACGUCACACACGACAGCAACCUUACGUCACAGGUCAAAGCCGACGGGUGGAAUCGGACACUUCAGUUGACCCCUUUGAACACAGAAUUUUUUGCGGCGGGGAAGAUAAGUGUUUGCCAUUGUUUUCGUCGAUAUUGUAGAUCGUGCACUGAAUUGUAGAAGUAACUCAGCCAUAGGCUUUGGGCUAUUCUGAUGUCAAAGAGACGAAUAUCGGAACGCAAAAUUGUUGGAGAGAGAAUAGGGAAUGUAAGAAAUGUAAACAUUCUGAUAGGCAAGUAAGUUGAUCAGUGAAAAUGAUCGCAGUUAGAAUAUCCUAUUUUUUCGUAGAAUAUAAAUGUAUGUAAUUAAUUUAAUACUGUGACAUAUGAAUUAAAGCCACAAAUACAGUGUUGUACUGAUGAACGUCAUAAACUGCACAUUUGGUUUCAUAGCUGUGUGCAUACGAAAGGUAAACAGCUGUAUUGUAUGCAACUUAGUACUGUUGUAAUGAUUGUUGAAAGGCUUCUUCAAAGUUAAUUCUCAUUUGAAUAGUGUUCUUGAGCUUUAUUUUCAGUCACUAAAGUAUUAAACGAUGAAACUUGCUGAAAGCAGGAGGAGACAUGUAGCAAAACUGGAGAUACUAUGGGAAAUUUGCAUUUGGAACAAAAAAAAUGCUGAAGCAGCAAGUAAAGCUCUAUGUGAAUGACUCAGCUGGCACUAAGAGGAUUCGUAAAUAAAAUCAGUGUGUACUAAUUUCAUUCAUUAUUAUUAAUGAUAAGUACCAUUGUGGAGUAAAUGCUUCAGGAUGCAAAUAGAAUAAUUUGAGUUAGACUGGACAAUUUUAGGUCUUAGCUGUACUGCUUAAAAAGAAAAUGCUUUUAGGCAGAUUGAAUAAAAGUAUGCUCUCAGUCCUGUUUGUGGGCCAGUACAGUGAGAAAGACGUCUAAGCGCAAAGCAGGCAAUAACGACCUUUUUGGAUUGUACCAAAAAGACAAAUGUUCCAGCAGAAAUUAAGCAUCAUUCUAGAUAAUUUAGUCCUGAUUUCUUGCCAUUUGGCAAUCAUUGUAUCAUCACUAUUUACUACUUGAGGGUAAUGUAAGGCUAUUUGUACAGAAUCAGGUGCUGAUGCAACACCAAUCUGCUUUCACCUGUGAUGUCAUGGUGAGGCUGAUUGUGUUUGUAGAUGGUGUGUUGUAGUAUUUGGUGGUGCUCUCUUGAGCUGGAUGUUUGUUGGUGAGUUAUUUGACGUGAAUUGAAUGUUUCAGAUUGUAAUGGAAGAAUUUGUGCUGGUUUGGUGGUAAGUUACUUUGAACUUGAAUAUUGUGGCUGGUGGAUUCAUUAUCACGUUUGGAAAUAUUAGUGCCGCAUGUUUCUUAUGGUCAGAGAUUGCAUAUUAUUUUUCUUUUGUCUUCAGUUCUGACUAAGAUACAGAUACUUAUGAGUAUGUUUUUAUUCAUUGUAAACAACGAAGUUGUUUCUGUAUAUUGAAAUUGGUGUUGAUGGAGCCAAGUACUUCACAUGUUAUUUAUGUCUGUUUGCAGGUGUAAUGAGUGACAUUCUGGUCACCAUAUUGAAUGUGCUUGAAAUAGAAGUGUACACCACAUUGAUGACAUUACUGGUGAAAAUAGAAACAUAUCACAAAUCCAGUACCACACCAGAAUGACUACAGGAUUGCAAUACCAAAUGUUCUCUACCACUACCCUAUAUUUUAUGGGAUGGUUACGAAUGAGAGGCCAUGGCCAACACCCAAGAUCAAUAUUUGAUAUUUUACCAUCUGUGCCAAAUUAAUGUGUCUGGUAAUAUAUUAAUGUUAUGACACUGUCACUAGUAGUGUCAAAGGUACACUUUCCAAAACAAAUGGUUCACAUUGCACUGUGAAAACCUGCUGUCAUAAAAUGUUUAUUGAAGUGGAUGACACUUGUCUCUCGUGUGUUGGUGCUACUGUUGUAACGAAUGUGUUCAAAGCAGCUGCAGUAAAAUAAAUUUGUUUAUUGCAAAAGGA